rnacentral:rRNA from 1 species
AGAGUUUGAUCCUGGCUCAGAAUUAACGCUGGCGGCGUGCUUAACACAUGCAAGUCGUACGAGAAAUCUUUUGCUUGCAGGAGAGAGUAGAGUGGCGUACGGGUGAGUAUCGCGUGGGUAAUCUACCCUCGGAUUCGGGAUAACGGAUCGAAAGGUGUGCUAAUACCGGAUGAGGUCAAUAUGACUGCGGUUGUAUUGAUGAAAGGUGGCCUCUACAUGUAAGCUACUGUUUGGGGAUGAGCCUGCGUACCAUUAGCUAGUUGGUAGGGUAAAGGCCUACCAAGGCCACGAUGGUUAGCUGGUCUGAGAGGAUGAUCAGCCACACUGGAACUGGAACACGGUCUAGACUCCUACGGGAGGCAGCAGUGAGGAAUUUUGCGCAAUGGGAGAAAUCCUGACGCAGCAACGCCGCGUGAGUGAUGAAGGCUUUCGGGUCGUAAAGCUCUGUCGAUUGGGAAGAAAGUAUGGCAAGUUAAUAGCUUGCUGUAUUGACGGUACCGAUGAAGGAAGCACCGGCUAACUCCGUGCCAGCAGCCGCGGUAAUACGGGGGGCGCAAGCGUUAUUCGGAGUUAUUGGGCGUAAAGGGCGCGUAGGCGGUUAGAAAAGUCAGGUGUGAAAUCCCUGGGCUCAACCUAGGAAGUGCAUUUGAUACUAUUUAACUUGAGUAUGGGAGAGGGUAGUGGAAUUCCUGGUGUAGAGGUGAAAUUCGUAGAUAUCAGGAGGAACACCUUUGGCGAAGGCGGCUACCUGGACCAAUACUGACGCUGAGGCGCGAAGGCGAGGGGAGCAAGCAGGAUUAGAUACCCUGGUAGUCCACGCAGUAAACGGUGAUCACUAGGUGUAGCGGGUAUUGACCCCUGCUGUGCUGCAGUUAACACAUUAAGUGAUCCGCCUGGGGAGUACGAUCGCAAGGUUAAAACUCAAAGGAAUUGACGGGGGCCCGCACAAGCGGUGGAGCAUGUGGUUUAAUUCGACGCAACGCGAAGAACCUUACCUGGGUUUGACAUCUCGGGAAUCUUUUAGAAAUAAGAGAGUGCCUCGCAAGGGGAGCCUGAAGACAGGUCUGCAUGGCUGUCGUCAGCUCGUGUCGUGAGAUGUUGGGUUAAGUCCCGCAACGAGCGCAACCCUUAUCUUCAGUUACCAUCAUUAAGUUGGGGACUCUGGAGAUACUGCCCCGGUUAACGGGGAGGAAGGUGGGGAUGACGUCAAGUCCUCAUGGCCUUUAUAUCCAGGGCUACACACGUGCUACAAUGGUCCGUACAAAGGGUUGCAAGCCUGUGAAGGUGAGCUAAUCCCGUAAAGCGGAUCUCAGUUCGGAUUGGAGUCUGCAACUCGACUUCAUGAAGUUGGAAUCGCUAGUAACCGUGGAUCGGCAUGCCACGGUGAAUACGUUCCCGGGCCUUGUACACACCGCCCGUCACACCAUGAGAGUUGGUUGUACCAGAAGCCGUUGGGCCAACCCGCAAGGGGGGUAGGCGCCUAAGGUAUGGCUGAUGAUUGGGGUGAAGUCGUAACAAGGUA